UUCUGUAGCAAGGAAAAUGAGAUAUAUAUUGAAGAACCACACAAUACUAAUUAUACAACACAACAGAAGAACCAAACAGGAAUGCAACACUUAAAAAAAGUAUAUAUAUGUUAACUCAUCCAAAGAAUUUUGUGUCUACUCCAAUCUAUGACAGAAAAUGGGCAGAGGUGAAAUCUAUGAAGAACAUCUAUCCUUCUUAUGAUUGCAUAUCAGGUGUGUGUUUCUUUGUAUUGUGAAUUCUUUAGUAACAUGAAUAAAAAUUAUGAAACUCUGACAUGUUAGACGUGUUAACAUGUCUAACAUGUGUUGGGGUCUGAUAUCA